UCAACCGUCGCUGUAUUAUUUUAUUUCUUUAAAACUCUCCAAGGUGCCUAUGGAAACGUGAAGAGCAGCCGCCCGGGCAUCCUGCGUGGAAUGAGCGGAAGUGGUGAAGGGUCCUCCUUCCCUAACUGUCGCUCAGUGAGACCCUCUGCUUUGAUGCAGGUCACUUUCUGGAAGUCCUGCAUGGCGCGAGUGAAAGCUUGGUGGAAAGGCAGCUGUGUAAUUUACCUGCACCUGCUGAAAUCCAAAUGCAUCAUCCAGGACCAAGUGAAUUCAGUAAAGGAGGAGACUCCUACUCAAGCACGAGUGUGAUUUCACCCCCGUUGUCCACGGUAUGCUGAGCGGCACGCAGAGCGGCAGUGUGGCAAGAGUCGGACUCAGCUUCCCGCCGCAGUCUGACCUCCUGCAAGCCUGUUCGUCGUUCUCAGCCUCAGUUUCCCUGAUGGUACAAUGAUGGGUGUCACUAGAUAACCUCUAAUGCGUGGCCCGGUUCCAGCAUUCACAGGUAGAACGAACUGCAUGCAAGAAGCACCCAGAUGUCUAGGAAGUAGUCCCUGCCUUUGUUUUGCCACAGAAUAGGCAUCAGAUAGAAUCGAAUAGGGAUAGAGAAGCUGCGCUAAAAUUCUUUCAUCUCAACAGUUUGCACCUCCUGAAUUUCUAGUUGUUUUCUUUAAGAAAAUGUGCUGUCAGAUACCAGCACUGUUCAUUUGUUGAUUUUCCACUAUGCUUGGCUUCAACAGUAUGCUCUGCUUUGUAUCAAAAGCCCAGAGACGGGAAGUGCAUUUGUUCUUGGAAAAUUGGGAGGUGGAUCUAUUUAUCUACUGAUUAUGAAAGUUACAGAUUCUAACAGAAAAUUUGGAAAAUACGGAAAAAUUUAAAGAAAAGGCCGGCGCUGUGGCUCACGCUUGUAAUCCCUGCACUUUGGGAGGACGAGGCAGGCAGAUCACCUGAGGUCAGGAGUUCGAGACCAGCCUGGCCAACAUGGUGAAACCCUGUCCCUACUAAAAAUACAAAAUCAGCCAGGCAUGAUGGUGAGCACCUGUAAUCCCAGCUACUCAGGAGUCUGAGGCAGGAGAAUCACUUGAACCCGGGAGGUAAAGGUUGCAGUGAGCCAAUAUUGUGCCAUUGCAUUCCAGCCUUGGCAAAGAGCAAAACUCCAUCUCAAAAUAAAAAAAAAAAGAGAAGAAAUCAAAAUCACCCAGAGGACAACAUCGUUAAUACGUUCUGUACUUUCUUCCAAACUUUUCAAUGGGAUAUAUAAAUUCAAAUAUAGAAAUCUGAAAAUUGCAGAAAACUACAAAUAUAACAAGCACUUGUAUAGCUACCACAUAGAAGUUCUAACAACUGUUAAUAUAGAUUACAUCUCUCGCAAAUCUUUUUUGCUUUCUAAGGAAUUAAAACAUAGUAUAGAUUUGAGGCCCCCUUGAUGCCCGCCACUCCUGUCCCAGGCCCGUCGCAACAGCCAGUCAUUCAAUGUGUAUCUUCUCAGUCUGUUUCAGCCUAUUCAGUCUAUAUGGGUGUAACAAUGAGUGAUUUGGAAGAUUGUUUUUUAUGUUUCUAAG
rnacentral:lncRNA from 1 species